rnacentral:rRNA from 1 species
GAUGCACGCUGGCGGCGUGCCUAAUACAUGCAAGUCGAGCGAACAGACGAGGAGCUUGCUCCUCUGACGUUAGCGGCGGACGGGUGAGUAACACGUGGAUAACCUACCUAUAAGACUGGGAUAACUUCGGGAAACCGGAGCUAAUACCGGAUAACAUGUUGAACCGCAUGGUUCAACAGUGAAAGACGGUCUUGCUGUCACUUAUAGAUGGAUCCGCGCCGCAUUAGCUAGUUGGUAAGGUAACGGCUUACCAAGGCAACGAUGCGUAGCCGACCUGAGAGGGUGAUCGGCCACACUGGAACUGAGACACGGUCCAGACUCCUACGGGAGGCAGCAGUAGGGAAUCUUCCGCAAUGGGCGAAAGCCUGACGUAGCAACGCCGCGUGAGUGAAGAAGGUCUUCGGAUCGUAAAACUCUGUUAUUAGGGAAGAACAAAUGUGUAAGUAACUAUGCACGUCUUGACGGUACCUAAUCAGAAAGCCACGGCUAACUACGUG